CAGAAACAAGGAAAAAGGGAAACCCACGCCCACUCUGUGGCCGUGAGUGAGCUCUGUGUGUGUCCCAGUGACUAGCCCAUGUGCGUGUUGGGGGGGGCUGUGGCUCUGCCUCAUACCCAUGUGUGGCCAUCUCACACCCUCCCUGCCAUCUGUGUGCCACCAGGUGACACACAGGCCCCUGAAUCAUAGGAGGUCAAAGCUGUGAGGGGCAUCGGCAUCACCUCAGCCAACUCCCUCAUCUCAGGUGAGGAGUGAGAGGCUCAGAGAGGGCAGAGACUCACAGGAGGUCACACAGCAAGUCCACUUGACAACCAGAAGGCCCUGGUUCCACUCUGGGCUCCUAUUGCUCAUGCCAGCCACUUCUGCGAGCAUUUUACAGGAAAGGAAACAAACAGAGCCUUACUCCAGGAACAUCACUUGGUAAUUAAGAGAUCGCCUUGCUUCAGAUCCUUGCUCUCCUAGCCACGUGACUGUGAGCAAGUGACUUUGCUUCUCUGUGUCUGUUUCUUCAACUAUAAAAUAGGUAUGAAAACAGUACCGACCUCACAGGGUUUUGUGAGGAUUAAGUUGAUACAUUUGAAAGUGCUUGGAGGCCAGGCACAGCGACUCAUGCCUGUAAUCUCACCACUUUUGGAGGCUGAGGAGGACAGACUGCUUGAGCCCAGGAGUUUGAGACUAGCCGGGGCAACAUACUGAGACCUCUGUCUCUACGAAAAAUACAAAAAUUAGCUGGGCUUCGUGGCAUGUGCCUGUAGUCCCAGCUACUCUGGAGGCUGAGGGAGGACAAUCACUUGACCCCAGGAAAUUGAGAUUGCCGUGAGCUGUGAUUGUUACUGCACUCCAGCCUGGGCAACAGAGCAAGACUGUCUCCUAAAUAGAUUAAUUAAUUUAAUUUCUUUUAAUUAAUAAAUGAAAGCCGGGCGGGCGCGGUGGCUCACGUCUGUAAUCCCAGGAGUUUGGGAGGCCAAGGAGGGCAGAUCAUCUGAGGUCAGGAGUUCGAGA
rnacentral:lncRNA from 10 species